rnacentral:rRNA from 1 species
AGUGAACGUUGGCGGCGUGGAUUAGGCAUGCAAGUCGAGCGAGAACCGUAGCAAUACGGGGACAGCGGCGAAAGGGACAGUAAUGUGUAGGUACCUACCUCCGGGUUCGGGAUAGCUGCGGGAAACUGCAGGUAAUACCGAAUAACGUCUCCGGACCAAAGGUGUGAUUCCACCUGGAGAGGGGCCUGCAUCCUAUUAGCUUGUUGGCGGGGUAACGGCCCACCAAGGCGACGAUGGGUAGCGGGUGUGAGAGCACGACCCGCGUCAUUGGGACUGGGACACUGCCCAGACCCCUACGGGUGGCUGCAGUCGAGAGUCUUCGGCAAUGGGCGCAAGCCUGACCGAGCGACGCCGCGUGCGGGAUGAAGGCCUUCGGGUUGUAAACCGCUGUCGUAGAGGAGGAAGUGCAGGGGGGUUCUCCCCUCUGUUUGACCUAUUCUAGGAGGAAGGACGGGCUAAGUUCGUGCCAGCCGCCGCCGUAA